AUAGCGUGGUGUGGAUAUUUGUGGAUGAGGUCCUUAAAUUUUUCCCAUGUUUCAUCAAAUGUCUCCCCAUCCAUUUAGGAAAAAUGGGUGAUGGCUUUUCUAAUUU